rnacentral:rRNA from 1 species
UACGUAGGGGCAAGCGUUGUCCGGAAUCAUUGGGCGUAAAGAAGCGUGUAGGCGGCCCGGUAAGUCCGCUGUGAAAGUCAAAGGCUCAACCUUUGAAUGUCAGCGGAUACUGCCGGGCUAGAGUCCGGAAGAGGCGAGUGGAACUCCUGGUGUAGCGGUGGAAUGCGCAGAUAUCAGGAAGAACACCAACGGCGAAGGCAGCUCGCUGGGACGGAACUGACGCUAAGGGCGCGAAAAGCGUGGGGAGCGAACGAGG